rnacentral:lncRNA from 1 species
AAUGAUUUUAAUUGGGCAGCGAUGUCACGUAAUUCCAUAAUGUGCUCGCGUAUGCCACCGUUAUCAUUAUACUUUAAGGAAGCAAACCUUGAUAUUAAGGUGCUGGCUAGGGCUUUCUUUGAACUCACAAAUUGCUCUUCUACUACUGUUAAGAAUUCUUUUGCAGUUUUGCAAUCAGGAAUUGAGCCCCUUAUCUUUCUGGAGAUAUGAUUUUGUAUGAG